UUUGAAAAUGAUGUUUUAAAUGCAUCAAUAACAUCAUCAUUAUCUUGUGUUAAAGAUGGUAGUAUGAUUGCUGGGGUGUUGUAAAGUAUGAAACCAUGGCCAGUGCGUUACGAACUACCUAUUUUAUUUCCCUCAGUAAAUGCAGCUUUGGAUUCUAAUUGGAAAACAUCAUUAUGACAUGAAAAUGGAAUACCAUAAGCUCUGGCCAGACAUCAACAUCCUGUUGGAUCGUCAGCAACGUACUUGUGCUACUCGUGCAAAUUUUUGUUUUGUUUUGAGUACAGUCAAUUUAAAAUGUACUUAUCCUUGGCUUUCUAUUGCUAGAUUGGUUUGUUUUAAGUGUUUUUACAAUCAUAAUGUUUUACUAUAAAAACUCUGCAUUACACUACUUAUAAAGUUAUAAGUUAUUAUUAUUACUUAUUUUUCUUCUCUUUUAGAAAUAAAUUUAAUCUCAAAAUAUUUUUGGAAGUCUGACUUUCUAAUGAAAUGAGAUUAAGAUUUGCCAAAAAUCUUGACAGAACUCCACCAAUGUAUGGGUGGAAUGGCUGAUAAAAUUAUGCAACUAGUAAAAUCAAAGCAUGAAGAUGAUAUAGUAAAUGCAAUUUCUGAAAUUGAUGACUCAAUGAAGAAAGAUGCCACAUUAAAUGCAGCCAUUAUUUUAUUACCAAAGCUGUUUAAAGAAUCAAUUGAAUGCAUAUUUACAUUUGACAUACAACCCGUGCAGAGUACGCCAACUAUCAAAAUGCCAAAAAGACAAAGGCUCAUAACAAAAUAUUGUUUUGUUAUUUUGGAUGGAUCUAUAAUAACUUUAUUAUAGAGCAUUGCAGCGAUGUUGACGUUUCAUUAGCGAUGUCGUAUGUUUUUGCAUCGUAUUAUAUAUAUAAUAUUCAAUAUCCUGCAAUUAAAAACGCGUUAUUGUUUUAUGAACAUAUUGUUUAUGGAUUGUUAUUUAAAGAACGCCCAGUGACAAUAACUAGAAUGGCUCAUACUUUGAAUAACAAAUUAAAUUGAUUUACUACCUAUGCUAUACUUUUUA